CUCCAGACUCCUACGGGAGGCAGCAGUGAGGAAUAUUGGUCAAUGGGCGCAAGCCUGAACCAGCCAAGUCGCGUGAGGGAAGACGGUCCUAUGGAUUGUAAACCUCUUUUGUCGGGGAGCAAAGCGCGGUACGAGUACCGCGAAGGAGAGUACCCGAAGAAAAAGCAUCGGCUAACUCCGUGCCAGCAGCCGCGGUAAUACGGAGGAUGCGAGCGUUAUCUGGAUUUAUUGGGUUUAAAGGGUGCGUAGGCGGAUUUGUAAGUCAGCGGUAAAAAUGCGGUGCUCAACGCCGUAUCGCCGUUGAAACUGCAGGUCUUGAGUGAGCGAGAAGUAUGCGGAAUGCGUGGUGUAGCGGUGAAAUGCAUAGAUAUCACGCAGAACCCCGAUUGCGAAGGCAGCAUGCCGGCGUCCGACUGACGCUCAUGCACGAAAGCGUGGGUAUCGAACAGGAUUAGAUACCCUUGUAUG
rnacentral:rRNA from 1 species